rnacentral:rRNA from 1 species
UACGGAGGGGGCUAGCGUUAUUCGGAAUUACUGGGCGUAAAGCGCACGUAGGCGGAUCAGAAAGUCAGAGGUGAAAUCCCAGGGCUCAACCUUGGAACUGCCUUUGAAACUCCUGGUCUUGAGGUCGAGAGAGGUGAGUGGAAUUCCGAGUGUAGAGGUGAAAUUCGUAGAUAUUCGGAGGAACACCAGUGGCGAAGGCGGCUCACUGGCUCGAUACUGACGCUGAGGUGCGAAAGCGUGGGGAGCAAACAGG